rnacentral:rRNA from 1 species
UAAGCCUGUGAAGGUGGCCUGUGAGGGUUGCUGGAGGUAUCAGAAGUGCGAAUGCUGACAUAAGUAACGAUAAAGCGGGUGAAAAGCCCGCUCGCCGGAAGACCAAGGGUUCCUGUCCAACGUUAAUCGGGGCAGGGUGAGUCGACCCCUAAGGCGAGGCCGAAAGGCGUAGUCGAUGGGAAACGGGUUAAUAUUCCCGUACUUGGUGUUACUGCGAAGGGGGGACGGAGAAGGCUAUGUUGGCCGGGCGACGGUUGUCCCGGUUUAAGCGUGUAGGUGUGUGUUCCAGGUAAAUCCGGUUCACUUUAACACUGAGGCG